AGAGCGACACAUUCUUUCAUAAAUGUUUGCAGAAGCAGUCUGAAUGCCUAGGUGCUUGAUUUUAUACACCAGUGGCCAUGAAGGUGAUAGGAACGUCUGAAUCCAAUGAUUUGGAGGGAUGUCUCUUGCUGACACUCUU